rnacentral:rRNA from 1 species
CUACGGGGUGCAGCAGUCGAGAAUAGUCUACAAUGGGCGAAAGUCUGAUAGUGCGACGCCGCGUGGAUGAAGAAGCAUUUCGGUGUGUAAAGUCCUUUUCUGUGUGAGCAAUGUUUUCCAGGUUAAUAGCUUGGAGAAAGCGAUAUUAACACAGGAAUAAGCUCCGGCUAACUCCGUGCCAGCAGCCGCGGUAACACGGGGGAGCACGCGUUGUCCGGAAUUACUAGGCGUAAAGGGUAAGUAGGCGGAAUUGUAAGUCAGAUGUUAAAGGCACCGGCUCAACCGGUGUAUGGCAUUUGAUACUGUAAUUCUAGAGUAAGGUGGGGGAAGACGGAAUUCCUGGUGUAGCGGUGGAAUGCGCAGAUAUCAGGAGGAACACCAGAGGCGCAGGCGGUCUUCUAUACCAUUACUGACGCUCAAUUACGAAGGUGUGGGUAUCAAACAGGAUAGAUACCCUGGUAGUC